AUUGAACGCUGGCGGCAUGCCUAACACAUGCAAGUCGAACGGUAACAGGUCUCGGGUAACCGAGAUGCUGACGAGUGGCGGACGGGUGAGUAAUACGUAGGAAUCUGCCUUUUAGUUUGGGACAACUCGGGGAAACUCGAGCUAAUACCGAAUAAGUCCUGAGGGAGAAAGCUAGGGAGUCGAAAGACCCUGGCGCUAAAAGAUGAGCCUACGUCGGAUUAGCUAGUUGGUAAGGUAAUGGCUUACCAAGGCGACGAUCCGUAGCUGUUCUGAGAGGAAGAUCAGCCACACUGGGACUGAGACACGGCCCAGACUCCUACGGGAGGCAGCAGUGGGGAAUAUUGGACAAUGGGGGAAACCCUGAUCCAGCAAUGCCGCGUGUGUGAAGAAGGCCUGAGGGUUGUAAAGCACUUUUGUUAAGGAAGAAGAUAUGUUGUUUAAGAGAUAGCAUAUUUGACGUUACUUAAAGAAAAAGCACCGGCUAACUCUGUGCCAGCAGCCGCGGUAAUACAGAGGGUGCGAGCGUUAAUCGGAAUGACUGGGCGUAAAGGGCGCGUAGGCGGGCUAAUAAGUCAAGUUUAAAAUCCCCGGGCUUAACCUGGGAAUGAGACGUGAUACUGUUGGUCUUGAAUAUUGGAGAGGAGAGUGGAAUUUCCGGUGUAGCGGUGAAAUGCGUAGAUAUCGGAAGGAACACCAGUGGCGAAGGCGACUCUCUGACCAAAUAUUGACGCUGAGGUGCGAAAGCGUGGGGAGCGAAGAGGAUUAGAUACCCUCGUAGUCCACGCCGUAAACGAUGAAAACUAGCUGUUGGAGUGGAAGCACUUUAGUAGCGAAGCUAACGCGAUAAGUUUUCCGCCUGGRGAGUACGGCCGCAAGGUUAA
rnacentral:rRNA from 1 species